rnacentral:lncRNA from 1 species
GCUUUUUAUUUCAUUUAUUGAGUUCUUCCAUUCCAGGAUUAUGUACUUUUGUUAUCUUAUAUGUCUUAAGUCACACUGAGUUUCUUUAAUGUCAUUUUGAUUUUUUUGUUAGGCAUUUCAAAAUUUGGGGGGAGCAUCUGUUACUGAAGAAUUAUUGUUUUCCUUUGAAGGUGUCAUGUUUUCUUGCUUUUCAAUGUUUUUUGUAUCGUUAUAUUUAUAUCUGUACAUCUGAUGUCACUUCUUCCUAUUUUAUGCAUUGGCUUUUGUAGGGAAAGACUUUUUCCUGUAGAUGUAGCUAUAGUGUUGGUUGGAUAGGGUGCUUUGGCUUUGAUUCUGGGUGAGUGCAGUAGUAUAGUCUCCCUGUGAUUUCUUCAGCUUUAAUGAGCAUUAGCGGUGUCUGAGAGUCCCUCAGUGGCUUAGACUGUGGUUGUUAAUGAAGGCUGUAGUAGGCUUUUCUGGGGACUGUGACUCCAGGUAGACCAGUGCUCAGGCACUAGUAGUUGUGCCAGUAGGCAGGGCAUGCCUUUCCUCAGGCCCCUAGAUAGUACAUGUGGGCGCCAGCAGGCAUAGGCAGAGCAUAACAGUACUUAAGGCCCCAGAUGAAAUGCACAGGCACCAACAGCAGGCAGAACAGGCCUGUCGUCAGGCCCUCUGAUGGUGUAUGCAGGCAAUGGCAGCAGCGUGCUAGUUGAGUCAGUCCUCAGGCCCUUAGAUGGCAUGCUUAGGCACAGUUGACAGUGGCAGUGGGCAGAGCAGGCUUGUCCUUAGGACCCUAGAUAAUGUGUGCUGGUGGCAGUGGUGGGCAGGGCAGGCUUCUCUCCAAGCCCACCUCUGGAGUUUGCAGGUGCUGGUGGCAGGCAGGUGGGUUGACCUCCUGGCACUAUGUGCACAGGUGACAGCAGCAGUAGGUGGGUUAGACCCUUUUCAAUCCCACUUUAGAGCUCUUCAGUUAGAAGUUAGUUUAUGGUGCUCCUUUUUCUAACCGUAAGUCAUUAUAAAAUACAGGUUUAUCAGUUAUUUUUUGGCAUAUUUAACACAUUUAAAUGGGAUGAACAGCUUUUUAGUUUAUAAUAGGAAGCUAAUAAAAAUCAAAUCUAAUUUGUUUCAUUUUGUUUUGUUUUUUGAGACAGAGUCUUGCUCUGUCACCCAGGCUGGACGCAGUGGAGGUUGUAGUGAGCCAAGAUUGCACCACGGCACGCUAGCCUGGGUGACACAGCAAGACUCCAUCUCAAAAAAAAAAAAAAAUUACUUUCAACAAGGCAUAUAGUCUCUUGUAAUAUAUAUGUAUACUAUUACAUUGUACAGAAUCUGUACUUAUGUUUGGUGUGUAAUAUACCAAUUAGUUUUAUAUAAUAUCCUCAUAAGCUAUUCUAAUUUUUGAGAGAAACACAAAAAGUUAUAGAUUGAUAGUCUGUAUAAUAUUAGACAAAAUAGUAAGCUUUAUAAAAAGUUAUUUUUGGUAAAUGGUAAGGAAUUUGGGGUGGAAUGUGAUGAGAUUAAAAUGUAGCUUUGGUAUAACUUCAUGUGUAUUUCAAAAUAUACUGAACGUCAACAUGAUUUGAAUAAAGAAAAUGUAUUUUCUACUUGAA